rnacentral:lncRNA from 1 species
UGCCCGUAUCGCUACGAUUACAUAGCUGUUAGUUACAGUGGGACCCGGAGCGCUGCCUGUAACGGCCCUAGUCCCAGGCAGGAAAGAUUCCAGCACAGCCAGCCUCCACAGAGUCCACACGAGCCAACUACAUCAUCAUCAUCAUCGUCACAUCUCCCGUGGUCUACAGUCUUAAUAACUCAUGCACCCCAUUGUUACCGUGGUUUGAUUGAGUGUUUAUUGGCAGACUAUUUCAAGCUUGAGGGAAAAAAAAAGAAAGAAAUGAAUCCGGCGCUCCAGUGAAUAUUUGGUUGUCAUCCGGGUAAUCGUGUGCCGAGUGACUGAACGAAUGGGGCGAGCAUUUGAUCAACUGUCAGGCCCCGACGGUUAUUUCGCCCUUUCGGCGAUAGUCAUAGUACCCGGUCCGUAAGUCAGGGCCAUCAAAGCCGGCAUCUGCUUCUGUUAAUACAUAGCAGCCAUCUGAGAUCAGAUGAAACGUAGUUUUAGGCUAGUCCGUCCAAAAAAAGAUUGAAGUUAUGCAGCUAGUAGAGACAGACAAAAAAGAAAGACAGACUUGUACAAAGUAAGCUGGACGAGAAAGCCAUGAACCUAAAAUUCAAGAUCCGAACUUUGAUUCCAACCCCAGCAAGCCACAUAUCUCCUAAGACAGAUGGGAUUAGAAGACGGGCCCCAAACAAUACGAUGAGGCUGCUAUCAUUUCCCAAACGUCAGCUACGAGACACUCGGUGUAUCGCGAGGAGUGCACGGAGUACUGAGCACAAAGUCGACACGGAGCAGUCUUCUAGUUGGGAUAAGUUGCGAUGCCAAGGAGAAGCAGGACACUUUUCGUGUGCGGGUGAGGCCGUAUUGUCCUAAUACACACGGAAUAUGGGUGGGGGGUUAAACCCAUUCUGGAGAUAACGGCGCAACGCAACACGGGGAAUCGGUCUAGGUUAUUCUUGGACUAGAAAACCGGUACUAGCGUUCCAGAUAAGUACUAUGUAUAGCUCAGCAUCCGUGUUGCUAACCCCUUUGGGUCGCUGUGUAUGUAUCUGGAUGCUGGGAAGUUUUCUUGAGCGGCCGGAGUGACUUGAAAGCGACCAAUCACGGUCGGAUCCGAUUCCUGGGUUUCGUGACGGCACUGCAUGACAUGAUGAAGGCUUUGCAUAUAUGCUCAUCACACAGCCCUUUGGCUAGGGAGCCUACGUAGUAUUAUUAGGGCAUUUCUUGAAAAGAGCCGGACCUGGUAUCCCUGCAACAUGCUGGGUAGCGUCAGUUGUUAGAUUGGCACUACACACGUAGUACUAUUAGUUGGCCUCCUAGUUAGUAGUACAGCAUCGGUAUGUUAGGAUGACCAUUAAGAUCAAUCCUGUUCCGUCUGUUUCCUCGUAGUAUGAACUUGGCCCGAGGGCUGAAGUCACAAUCCGCAAACUUCGAACGAUGGAGAUAAUUCGGUAAAUGCGCUGUGGCCUAAUGAUUAAUCCCCAAGGAGAGGCAACUAUGACCUAAUGGACAAGUCACCAUGCGCGAUUUGCUUCGCAGUCAAAAUGUCGCAUUGUUCGAACAAUGGUAAUUGGAUUUCUCAAGGGAGGGGGGGAGGGGGGGAGGGGGGGAGAGAAUAAAAAAAAUAAGUGAGGGAAUAAAGAAGACAAAAAAAAGAACACCUCGGAACAGCCGCAACGACGAAUCAAAAUCAAUGAUCUCAUCAAUCUCGUUCGAACUUUGUUUACAUCGAUGUUUGCUGAAUUGCCGGAGACUCCUGCCCAGAGCCAAGUCCCUACACGACGACAGCAUUUGCGAAUUUGGGAAUAGACUAAACUCAUCUGAGCAAGGAGCGAGUAACGCGCUAACCAAUUCAAGGCUCAACAACUUACUUCGUACUAACACGUUAACAACCAACCACGGAGCACUAACGUACUUUAGGGUAACUACGGUUAACUUAGGUAAUUAACAAUCCAUUAGUUAGUUAGUUAGUUACAGAGCAUUACAGACUCCCAGCGUAGUUACGUGUUCUCCACCAGUGGUUGUUCGGUGUCCAUACGGAUGAAAGGGAAGAAUACGUACGGAGUUGGGAAACAUUACGUACUCUGUACAAUGGGGUACGUAGUUGGUUAUGCACCAGCCACUUACUCCGUUACUUCAAGGUGGACGAAUCAUGUGAUAUGAUUGACCAUUGAUUUUUCGGAUCUUUUGGAAGCGGUAUUAGACUACGUGUACAGAAGGGACGGGACUUCCAAUCAUGAAUGGAACCAUGAUCGUGUCUUUGAUGUCAACCCUCUUGGCAUAUUGACAUGAUUAUGGGCUCGCUGCUUUUCCAUGCGACGCAACAUGCAAUUUCCAUACAUACUAAGCAAUCGAAAUUGUGGCAAGCAAUAUUGUUGGAUGGUCAAUCUCCAUUAAGCCCUCUGCCGAGAAAGCCAAGUGUCUAUAAGCUGCGAUUACUGCCGUGUAACUCGUUCGCCUCAAAUAUGAUCGUCGAAAACAGAAUAUGCACUCCGCUGUAACUGGUUGAUCGGAACUCUUCCGAUCACACCCUAAUACUUAAAAAGCAGUCGCGAUCCUUGAUUGUUGUGCUUGACGCUAAAGCCAGAGAUGGCGGUGAAACAUCAAAAGAAAACAACCACCAGAACAGUCAGACAGUAGGGACAAUCGUCUUAACAAGAAAUUAAUGGUGUGGCCGCUGUACCAUAAUUACGCUGUUUACUGUACUACGUAUUCAUUACAGCGAACAACGGUAAACCGCCGGUUUAGCAUUAGCCGAAAGCCCCCUUUAAGUCUAACGUGGAAAUAAUCAAGAAUUACAUACAACAAUACUCCGUCCAGCGGCGUCCAGUCGGAAAAACAAAACAAAACAAGAAAAAAAAAAAAAAAAAAAAAAAAAGAGAGAUCAGCAGCCGACGGUUCACACGCUCUUUUUUUCUGUAUGAGCUUGAUAUGUAUGCUCGUGUUCCCAAUGCUACCUUGCUACUACCCUGCCUUUCAAACCUUGAUCCCUUACAUUUUUCUCUGUUGCGACCUUGACCUUAUCUCGCUUGAUGAGCUGGCACAGCGUGAGCAAAUCAUGGGAUCUGAUCCGCGUGUGUGCUAUUUUUAACCGAUUCAAGCUGCAUACUCCGUAUGCUCAUGAUGAUGAGUCAAGAGCUGAUCGUAGACAUGGUUAUAACCCAGGUUUAUUUUGGGAUGUGCUGCUGUGAUACGUGUACCUAAUUGUCGGAAUCGCCCAGCUUUUUUGCCGAGCG